AUCCAGACUCCUACGGGAGGCAGCAGUGGGGGAUAUUGCACAAUGGGGGAAACCCUGAUGCAGCGACGCCGCGUGAGUGAAGAAGUAAUUCGUUACGUAAGGCUCUAUCAGCAGGGAAGAAAAUGACGGUACCUGACUAAGAAGCCCCGGCUAACUACGUGCCAGCAGCCGCGGUAAUACGUAGGGGGCAAGCGUUAUCCGGAUUUACUGGGUGUAAAGGGAGCGUAGACGGCAGUGCAAGUCCGGAGUGAAAGCCCGGGGCUCAACCCUGGGACUGCUCUGGAAACUGUAAAGCUGGAGUGCGGGAGGGGCAGGCGGAAUUCCUGGUGUAGCGGUGAAAUGCGUAGAUAUCAGGAGGAACACCGGCGGCGAAGGCGGCCUGCUGGACCGUAACUGACGUUGAGGCUCGAAAGCGUGGGGAGCAAACAGGAUUAGAUACCCGGGUACG
rnacentral:rRNA from 1 species